AUUCCGGCGUCCAUCAUCUCCGACUGCGACAAAAUCUUCACGAGCCACCUAUGGCGCGAGCUGCUCGCGGGCGCUGGCACCAAGCUGCUCUACUCGACGGCCUAUCACCCCUAGACUGACGGCCAAAGAGAACGGGUGAACCAGUGCAUGGAGAUGUACCUUCGAUGCGCAGUGCACGACUCGCCGCACAAAUGGCGCCGGUGGCUGCCAAUGGCGGAGUUCUGGUACAAUUCAACAUUCCAUGCGUCACUCAACGGCACUCCCUUCAAGGCCCUCUACGGCAAAGAAGCAAACCUCGGCGCCAUGGCAUCCUGGGCGGAGUCGGCGCCGGCCGACGAGGAGAUGGACUGGGCGGCGCACACCACGCACAUCCGCGCACAGCUGGAACGCGCUCAGCGCAGGUUCAAGAAGAAUGACGACCGCAACCGCACCGUGCAGCACUUUCAGGCGGGCGAACAAGUACUACUCAAGCUCCAGCCGUAUGCGCAGCGCUCGGUGGUCAAUCGCCCUUGUGCCAAGCUCGCCUUCAAGUACUUUGGCCCCUACAAGAUCAUCGAGAAGAUCGGAACACUCGCGUACAAGCUCGACCUGCCGCCCGAAAGCCAAGUCCACCCUGUCUUUCACGUGUCGCAGCUGAAGCCCUUCACCCCCGACUACACGUCGGUGUACGGCGAGCUGCCCAAGGUGUCGGACCUCUCCGUCGACAACCUCACGCCGGCGCGCAUUCUGGACAGACGCAUGAUGAAGCACGGCGAUGCGCUGGUGGUGCAGCUCAAGGUGCAGUGGGGCACCGGCGACUCCGUGCCGACGACAUGGGAAGAUCACGACGUGCUGCGCCACCGUUUUCCGUCCGCACCACUCUGGGCGGAGGCGGAGGACGAUCAAGAGAAGAAGAAGAAGAAGACGCAUCUUAAGGAGGGAGGAAUGUCACACCUAACCUGUGGUUAG
rnacentral:rRNA from 1 species